rnacentral:ncRNA from 1 species
GUCUUAUCAAGAGAGGCGGAGGGACUGGCCCGACGAUGCCCGGCAACCGGUAAACACAUACACGGUGCUAAAUCCAGCAGAGUAUUGGCUCUGGAAGAUAAGGA